rnacentral:rRNA from 1 species
UACAGAGGUCCCAAGCGUUGUUCGGAUUCAUUGGGCGUAAAGGGUGCGUAGGUGGCGCCGUAAGUCAGGUGUGAAAUCUCGGGGCUUAACUCCGAAACUGCAUUUGAUACUGCGGUGCUUGAGGACUGGAGAGGAGACUGGAAUUUACGGUGUAGCAGUGAAAUGCGUAGAGAUCGUAAGGAAGACCAGUGGCGAAGGCGGGUCUCUAGACAGUUCCUGACACUGAGGCACGAAGGCCAGGGGAGCAAACGGG